rnacentral:rRNA from 1 species
AAGGGGAGCAAUCCCUGAGUAGAGUGGCAAACGGGUGAGUAACACGUGGGUGACCUGCCUUCGAGUGGGGGAUAACGUCCCGAAAGGGACGCUAAUACCGCAUGACAUCCUGUCCUUAGAAGGACGGAGAUCAAAGCUAGGGAUCGCAAGACCUGGCGCUUGAAGAGGGGCCCGCGCCUGAUUAGCUAGUUGGUGAGGUAACGGCUCACCAAGGCUACGAUCAGUAUCCGGCCUGAGAGGGCGGACGGACACACUGGGACUGAGACACGGCCCAGACUCCUACGGGAGGCAGCAGUGGGGAAUUGUUCGCAAUGGGCGCAAGCCUGACGACGCAACGCCGCGUGGAGGAUGAAGAUCUUCGGG